AUACUUACCUGGCAGGGGAGAUACCAUGAUCACAAAGGUGGUUUUCCCAGGGCGAGGCUUAUCCGUUGCACUCCAGACGUGUUGACCCCUGCGAUUUCCCCAAAUGCAGGAAUCUUAACUGCAUAAUUUGUUUUAGUGGGGGACUGCGUUCACGCUCUCCCCUG
rnacentral:snRNA from 1 species